rnacentral:rRNA from 1 species
GACGAACGCUGGCGGCGUGCUUAACACAUGCAAGUCGAACGGAAAGGCCCUGCUUUUGUGGGGUGCUCGAGUGGCGAACGGGUGAGUAACACGUGAGUAACCUGCCCUUGACUUUGGGAUAACUUCAGGAAACUGGGGCUAAUACCGGAUAGGAGCUCCUGCUGCAUGGUGGGGGUUGGAAAGUUUCGGCGGUUGGGGAUGGACUCGCGGCUUAUCAGCUUGUUGGUGGGGUAGUGGCUUACCAAGGCUUUGACGGGUAGCCGGCCUGAGAGGGUGACCGGCCACAUUGGGACUGAGAUACGGCCCAGACUCCUACGGGAGGCAGCAGUGGGGAAUAUUGCACAAUGGGCGGAAGCCUGAUGCAGCAACGCUGCGUGCGGGAUGACGGUCUUCGGGUUGUAAACCGCUUUCGCCUGUGACGAAGCGUGAGUGACGGUAAUGGGUAAAGAAGCACCGGCUAACUACGUG